UAGUCCUAGCCCUAAACGAUGAAUACUAGGAAAUGGGUUUUUGACUCGGUUCCGAAGCAAACGCGUUAAGUAUUCCACCUGGGGACUACGACCGCAAGGUUGAAACUCAAAGGAAUUGACGGGGGCCCGCACAAGCGGUGGAGCAUGUGGUUUAAUUCGAUGCAACGCGGAAAACCUUACCUGGACUUGACAUCCCUGGCCCACCUAAGAAAUUAGGUUUUCUCGGUUUCGAGACCGGGUGACAGGUGGUGCAUGGCUGUCGUCAGCUCGUGUCGUGAGAUGUUGGGUUAAGUCCCGCAACGAGCGCAACCCCCGUGUUUAGUUACUAACAGGUUAAGCUGAGGACUCUAGACAGACUGCUGGUUCUACGCCAGAGGAAGGUGGGGACGACGUCAAGUCAUCAUGCCCCUUACGUCCAGGGCUACACACGUGCUACAAUGGCGCAUACAGAGGGCUGCGAAACGGUAACGUCAAGCCAACCCCAGAAAGUGCGCCUCAGUUCGGAUUGAGGGCUGCAACUCGCCCUCAUGAAGGUGG
rnacentral:rRNA from 1 species